UUCUGGAUACAAAAACCAACACAUGUUUAUUAAAAGUUAGAACGUGUUGUGAUGAAGACAGGGGAUGAAGACAUUCAUGCUCCAGAUUCAACGAGUGGAAAGUCAUUUUGUUGUUGAAUGUUGAUUCAUGUACACCGCUAUCACAGUCUUCCUCUGCUUUCUCCUACACAAUACUAGAACCAGGGAGCACCACUGGUGCAAAUAUUUACAGACAGACAAUGUACAUUUAGAGGAUUUCCUUUCUUCUUAAUGCCGUCUUAAAAAAAAAAAUGUAUAUGAACAAGAAUUUUUUUUUUUUUUUUUUGUUUUUUUGCAUUUGAAACUCUGAAGGUGAAAGUAGCCUCUAUCUCUCUUCUUCUCUCGGUGUGUACCGUUCUCCAGCACAACAGCCCCGAGUCACUCAGCUGGGAGAACCUCAGCCUCUCAGACCCACUGGAACUGACCUGGAGUCAGGCUCACGUCACAAAUAGCACCUUAUCCCCCUAUAUAUAAGUGCACUAGUUUCGACCAGAGCUUUUGGCCAUAGGUCUCUGGUCAACAGUAAUCCCCUACAUAAUGAAUAGGUUGCUAUUUGGGAUACACCCUCAGUCAGACCUGAACGGCUACAGGAAGUGGCAACAGACCGAGACACAGAACAAAACAAGAUGGAGGAAUCUGACCACAGAACAGACGUUAUGUGAAGACACUAAAAAGAGUCGUACCAGAAUGCCGAAAAAUAAACAUGUUGCUUUGGACCUUUUUUGAAGAGUAUCCUGACUGAUUCAGAACUAGCCUUUCAUCCCAGGGUAUACCAGAACUAGCCUUUCAUCCCAGGGUGAACCAGAACUAGCCUUUCAUCCCAGGGUAUACCAGAACUAGCCUUUCAUCCCAGGGUAUACCAGAACUAGCCUUUCAUCCCAGGGUAUAACAGAACUAGCCUUUCAUCCC
ensembl:lncRNA